AAACUCUCAGAGAAGAGAGCAUACUAUAGCAAGGUUGCAGAGGACAUGAAUGCCAAAUUACAGAAGCAACAGGAAUGGGUCAGUAGUACUUGGAAGAUUAGCAGGGAACUGCAAAAGCAUAACUUGGCCAACGGAAAGGUUGUGGGGGAAAUAAGUAAAGCUGAAGGCAUGGCUCUAUACUUUAGUGUGGUGUUUGACACAACUUUUAACGAAAAAGGACUCUUAAACUCCACCAAAACUUU